GAUAAAAUAAUUAUUAUUUCAAUUGCAUAACUACAUUCAACUAAUGAGAAUACUAAUUAAAUUACAUUUUUAUCUUAUUUAAGUACCAAUCCAUCCAUUUUACAGAUACCUAUAGAUUGAAUUUUCUGAAUAAAUUUAAUAUUAUUUCACAUUUGAAUUAGUAAUAAAUAGCAAUUUAAUGUCGUAAUGAAUGAAAAAGGAUUUUCAUUGCAAGGUGUGCAGUGCAAGCUAAAAAAGUGAAGACAAAAAAUCUCCUCCACACGAAUAAAUAAACUUAACUUCCCCAUUUACGUCAAGUAAUAAGUCAAGUGCAGCAGCAACAGCAAUUGACAGUGAAUAUCUGUUUCUGUAUAUUAAUUGAAAAGUUCUGUCUCAUUCAAAAAAUUUAAAAUUCAUAGAUACAAUUCUAUUUUUAUAGCUUGAGUUCGAGUGGUGUUGCGAACCUUUUAAUUCUCAUACUGAAGUUUUGACCACAAUUUAAUGAAAAUAUUUUAUUCUACUGCGUUUCUGUCACGUCAUUCAUUGCUAAUUUUAACUUUUUUUUUGUAUCCAAUUGAUAACUCAGUAGUUGAAAUGAAGUAAAGUGGACACGUGAUGGAAAAUGUUGUGCCGCCUAUCACCCAACAUUCAAACACGAGAUAUAUACACAUGUUUAUACUCUCACGCAUAGAUACAUAUAUUUAGAUACACUGAAUUCUGCUAUAAACAUGAGAAUUGAGCGUGCAGCAGGGUAGAAAUUACUUUGAUUCAUGUUUAUCCAUAAUAUUUAUAGAUUGAUAGUUUUAGAAUGACAGAGCGAAGGUGGGAAAGUCUAGAAGGAAACCGACCACUAUUUAAAAGCUUUUUUAUAGAAACUCAACUAAAUACGACGUAACUCCUUACAAGAAAAAGUUGUCAUAGUUCACACAGUAAGUGGGAAACCUGGAAGUAAUUUUAUUACACCAUUCCCGGACAUCAGUAAUAUAAACCUUAAAUAAAUAUGCGCAAACGUUUGAAGCUUAUAAUAUUCUAUCAUAUUCUGGAGGAACAAGAGGGAAAAGGGCAAGAACACAAAUUCUACUGGGAAUAUUGGCCAAAGUGGGUUCUGACACUGAGUAGAGUAGAAUACGUGUAGUGAUGGAAUUUUCCACUCCUUAACUUCUGUAUGGGCAAUUCUUUUGUUGAGCCGCGAAGAAUUGAAGGCAUAAUUUGUUUGUAUUUUUUUAUUUUAUGUUUUUGCAGCUGAUUGGUGUUCUUUUUCUCAAGACAUUCGAUAGAUUGAAAUGAAAUUAUUUCAAAUGAAUAAAUAUGAUAUACUAUAUUUUAAAAUU